ensembl:snRNA Gm24198 U6 spliceosomal RNA
AUGUUCACUUAGGGAGCACAUAUACUAAUAUUGGAAAGAUAUAGAGAAAAGAUUAGUGUGACCCUGCACAAAGAUGACAUGCCAUUUUUGAAGCAUUCCAAUAUUUU